rnacentral:lncRNA from 1 species
CGAAGCCCGGGAAGAGGAGCGAGGUGACCAGGGACCCUUGCUCAAGGCCCAUCUGUAUGCCCCUGCCUUGAGUCUGAGCUGUGUCCUCUCCAGACCUGGUUUUCAGUUGAUGCAGUGAAAACCGACACAAGCUUUGGAGCCAGACAAAGGUGGGUUUCAGUGCUCGCUGGGCCGUUUGGCAGCUGGGGAACUUUGGGUAAGUUGUGACCGUCACUUUCCACAUCUUUUCAGUGGGAACGUUAUAACACCUACCCUAAUCAUUGGGAAUGUUAUUUAACAAAUUGUAUUCCGUUUCUCCUGGAGAAUUUCUUUAAGAAGCUAAGAGAUGUCUAUGAGGCAGCGUUUCUGAUUUAUACAUUAUUCUCUCCACGGAGGUACAACGGGCAAAACUCCAGGAACCUGGGAAAGCGCAGGGCUGGUCGCGGGUCGUCAGGCCGGGCUGCUCCGUUGGCUCAGCUGUUAAUACAGGUAUUUGCCAGAUCACCCAAGAGCUGGAGUGAGGUCGGUGCUAGGAGGCAAGGAGAGCAGAAAGCAGAGAGGAAAGAACCAGAACUCCGACAGUCCUAUUGGCUGCAGCUCUGCCACUUGCAGGGCCUUGGUCAGCUUGUGCUCACUAUUGCAUCCCCAGGGCUGGCCCCUAGGAAGUGCUCAAUGCAUGGUAGCUCUCAAAUGAACCUACUCCUUGGAGGGGGCCUCUCCAGGGGUCCGCCCUUUCCCCUCUGAAUUUCCAUGACACCCCAUCUCUGUACCUCCCUGGCUGCCGCACUCAUCAUUUUAGUUUUGGAAUCUGCUGCCCCAGGAGGUAGUAAGUGCUCUCCUCAGUGUGUUCAAGUCGAGUUUGGAGACCGUCCAACAGGGAUGUUUUAAGGGGAUUCCAGUUAGAGAUGGGAAGCUGGGCUAAAUGAAUGCUAAGAUCCCUUCUAACUUGGGAUUUGAUUAUUCUAUACCUAUUUUUUGGCUUUUCAACUUCUAAAAUAUUUUUAUUAUGAAAUUUUCAAGUAUUCAGAAGAUUCAAAACAAUGCAAUAAAUAAAAAAAUGCAUGUGUAACCA